CGCACCGCGGCCGAGACGAAGUGAUAGAAGUUUUGACAACCAAGUAAAUCACUCUGCUGGCAGACGGCGGAGGAAAGAUCAUCAGUGCGAUCCACUCUGAAGAUGCAACUGAAUUCUGUCCAUGAUUCGGAAAGAGGGUGAGGAAACUCUGAGGCUUAGUAUGGAGAGGAGAUGAGCACAGCUGAACAACAUUGGCAGGGAUGAUCUAAUAGAGGCUAAAACCAAAACAGCUCGUGUUUGCAGUAAUUAUUUUAUCUCAGGAAUGCCAGCAAAAUUAUACGAUAGAAACAAUCCAGACUGGGCACCCACUCAGAAAAUGGGCUACGUUUCGUCCAAGGUCAGACUUGAUUCUUCGGCAGCUGAACGACACCAAAGAGCUCAAAGGAGGAGGAAGACAGCCGAAUUUGCGGAAGCUGCAUGUGGUAGCUCACCUGUGGAGUUCCAAGACACCACGGUUGAAGCUGAGAAAUUAAUACCAGUUUCCCUUCACUGGCACUACGGGACCCAAACUUGUUCCAGCAUAACAAUACCCCAAGUGAGCGUCACAAAGCUAUGGUUUGCCAAGGUUGGAGUAGAAGAACUCAAGUGUACUGCACAGAGCUGUGACCUCACCCCACUGAACACCUUUGAGAUGAACUGGAACUCUGACUGCACCCCAGAUCUCCUUGCCCAACAUCAGUGUCUGACCUCACUAAUACACUUGUAGCUGAAUGAGCACAAAUCCCCACAGCUAUGCUACAAAACCUAAUGGAAAGCCUUCCCAGAAGAAAGGAGGACAUUAUAACUGCAAAGUUGGAUUAAAUCUGGAAUGGGAUGUUGAAAAAGCACAUAUGGAUGUGAUGGUUAGGUGUCCACAAACAUUUGGCCAAAUAGUGCAAUUCAUUUUCUAUUCAUCAAAAUGAGUGUAUGGACUAUGGCUUCUCUGAAGUGUUUUCCUUUUUGUCAUGUUCACAACCUCACAUAAGGUAGUUAUUAGCAGGUCAAACUUGAUUUUUCAGUGGGCCAAACUAUGACUUUCCAGUAGGUGAGUUACUAUAAUUGUGGUGGCAGUGAUUAAUUAACCAACAAAAUACAAGAUGCUGUAUUGACAAGAGUCUGAAUUAAUGGUAGCAUCCUAAAAGUGGACAGGCUACCUUUCUAUCAGGUUAAGAAAUGAACAGCUAUGCCUAAAGCCAACAUUUGGCCACACUUAUUGUUCCUUAUUUUCAUGUAAACCACAGGAGUGAAACAGAUGUAAAUGCAGGAAGAGAGUUUAUUAAAAGCAGGCAGGCAAAUGAUUCCAAAAAUGUGAGGCACAGAAGAUAAACUAGACCAGGCAGGGGUCAGGCAAUGAGCAAGCAGAGUAAAUGUGGGAAGGCUAUGGACGUAGUCAGAAAACAGAAACAAAGUCAAAACCGUAGGAACAAUGCAAAAUUCCAACAGCUUGAUAAUGACAGGUCUGUGACACUGAGGGUAUACCUUGCCAAGUGUGUAUGUGUUCAAGGCCCUUAUAUGUGCGAAGUGAUUGUGCUCUGAUCUGGAACAGGUGCUCGACAUCAAUUAGUUUUAAUGAGCUUGAGCACAGCACAAUGCUGUAUGCCAGUUUGAGGUGAGCUGCUACACGCUCUGAUCGAAUGCACACAGAUGUGACACUUAUACCAAAAAGGUUCAUACUUCGUAAUAUUUUAUUGGUUGAAUGAAGGUUUACUUUUAUACUUAUCAGUAUGUCAGAUUUGAUGGUAAAUAAAAAAUGAUAAAUACCUAACUUGCAUCUUUCAAAUUUGAAAUAUUUUAUAUUGUGCAGAAGGACGGCAUGGCAGUGUAGUGGUUAGCACUGUUGCCUCAUUGCAAGAAGGUCCUGGGUUCGAGCCUAGUGGCUGGCGAGGGCCUUUUUGUGUGGAGUUUGCAUGUUCUCCCCGUGUCUGCGUGGGUUUCCUCUGCAUGCUCCGGUUUCCCCCAAAGUCAUGCAGGUUAGAUUAAUUGGUGGCUCUCAGUUGACCGUAAGUGUGAGUGGUUGUUUCUCUGUGUCAGCCCUGCGAUGAUCUGGCGACUUGUCCAGGGUGUACCCCGUCUCUCACCCAUAGUCAGCUGGGAUAGGCUCCAGCUUGCCUGAGACCCUGUAGAACAGGAUAAGCGGCAACAGAUAAUGGAUGGAUGGGUUGUUUCUGCAUCGUUGUGCAAACUAGUCAUCAGCAAAAACGUGACAAUGACAAUGAGAACACAUUCUCCUUAAUUGCACUCUUAGUAAUCCAAGUUAUUUCAGUAAAUUAUACCAGAAUUUCAUUUUCUACUAAAAUGAAACAACAAUGAAUACAAUUAUUGGAAUGAGUUCCACUAGAUGGUACUGUAGCACCCACAACAGCUUACUUCCCAUCUAGUAGACAAGGUUAGUUUAAAUUAUACAUGUUUCAUGCAGAUGAUUUAAAUGAACACGUUUUAGUCACAGGUGGCUUGUCAUACCUUCCAGUCUUUCAGCAUAUUUCCAAAAUGACCCAACAGACCCAGAGGAAUGGGUUAAGAGAGUUUCUAAUUGGAUGUAAAGCAGGUGAAAUUUGAUUUGUGUGGUGUACAUUUAAGUGUAUUUCAAAGAGGAAAAGACGAUAUGUAUAAAUAUCCAGUGUGAUAAACCUGAAAAUCAGCCAGAUAUCCUGGUUUUCCCCCCUUAUCCUCUGUGAGAUACAAGGACCUUAUUUGCUUCACUCAAAUGAAAUUCCCUCAUAUCCAAGCAACUGUGAAAUUACCAGUAAAAGGACCUCGAUAAAAAGAGUAUUGGAGUGAGUUGUAGAAUUUCAAAGAGGCAUGCAUAAGACCAGUGAAUGAAGAAGCUUGGCUCAGCAAAACUGCUCGAGGGUCAAACAUGGCUUGGGUUUUUCAUGGAUGUUGUUUGACCUAAAAAGAUAUCUGAUAGUUCAGAAAGUUAUUGUAUGUAUACAGUAUUGUGCAAAAAUCUUAGCACCCUAUUUUUUCAUACAAACUUGGUUAUAGAUUUCUAUUUUAUGGCUUCUACAUUAUCGAGUCAGUACAAAAACAUUUUAGAGUUCCAAAUGUUCAUUUUCCAGCACAAAAUUAAAUGCUACAGGAAAAAAAUGUUUCUAUCUGAGCAGCAUAUGACAUAAAAGAGAGCACUUUUCAGAUUAAAAAAGAAAACAUAAUGAAGGCUACUGGGUUUUGCUGCAAAAUGAAGAAGUGAGUGUGACAAAGUGUCCAGAAGAACUGUGGCUGGUUCUGUCAGAUGCUCAGUAAAACCUACAGCUCAUUUCCUUAUCAAACUGCACUCACUGUACCCGAGGUUUUUUUUAACAAAAGGUCGUCUCACAUCAAAUAUUGACUUUGUUUCAUUUAUUAUGGCUUACUGCUGUUUAUAGUAUUUUUAUUAAUUUUGAAACAUUUAAAUUCAUUAUUUUUUUUGGCCAUUUUUGGUCGACAGCAUUUCUUUACAUGUGCCCAAGACUUUGCACAGCAGUGUGUGUGUGUGUGUGUGUGUGUGUGUGUAUAUAUAUAUAAAAUAAAUACAUUUUUUAUAUAUGUGUGUGUUUCCACACCCCUGCUAAAAUGAAACCAAGAUAAACCCUGUCUGGAAGUUAUUCCAUCUUCACUGCAAAAUUGCAAUCCACACAAAGAAGGUGAAAACAAAUCAGAAACACUUUAGGUAAAAAAAAAAAAAAAAAUGAAAGUACAAACCAUACAAAAACCUGCCUGCAUAAUUGUGCACACCCUUAAAAAGUUACAGCUUUAUGUCUGUCUGUUACAAAGCACUGUGAGGUUUUCUUGUUCAGAACUACAUUUUGUCUCAAGUCAUGACUGGAAAUAGUCUGUGCAGUCAAAUUUAAAACAUAUAGGGUACAGGUACAAAUUUAACGCAGAGAAUUCCAAUCUUUGCACCAAGUUGAUAAAUAUUGUCAUUUUUCAAACACAGAUGAUCAGACCACAAUGAAUAAAAUAUGUGAGAAGUAACAUCCACUGCAAUUGUAUAAUAAAGGCAGAGACAUCAUAGAGAUUCGGUUCUUAGACCAUAACGUUCUGUUGCCAUGGCAUUUUAUGAAACCUAUUAAUAAUGAACCUGUCCUGUUGGGUGCUAUUUGUUUUUGAAGUUUGUUCAGUGACUGUAGGCUUGUAUGUAUGGUGCACAUUUGCAUACAUUAAUAGGGCGGCAGUUAGAGCAGCAAUGUUAUUAUUGUUAUUAUUAUUAUAAUACAUUUUUUUUAACAUACAGUUGUGGUCAGAAGUUUACAUACGGUGACAUGAAUGUCAUCUUGGAUAUGAAUGUCAUGACAAUAUUUGGGCUUUCAGUAAUUUCGUUGAACUGUUCUUUUUCUGUGGCUGAAUGUACAACAUACAUCUUGAAUAAAAAAAAACACUAGAAUUUGGUGCACAAAUUUUAAUUAGGGCCCGAGCACCGUUCGGUGCAAGACCCUAUUGUUUUUCGAAGGAUUAUUAUUAUUAUUAUGCCAUGUUUGGCCUUAUUUGAGGUAUUUCCCAUGCACGAAAACUCAUGAAAUAACACACAUCAGUCAUUGUCCUUGCUACUCAGCCACAGACUUUUGGCCCCGGGCAUGGCCCAGGAACUUCAUAGCGCCCCUUUUUCCAUUUCCCAUUGAAAUGAAUGGGUAGAACUUUGGAAUGAUGAUGACAUAAGGCCAUGUGGAGUGAAAUUACACAUGGUCAUUUUUAACGUACUCCUCCUAGACGGUUCAUCAAAUUCAUGUCAAACUUGGCAAACAUGAUGCCAAGAUAUUGCUGAAGUUGAAUUGCUAAGGGAUAUUUAAUAUCUCAUCUCAUCUCAUUAUCUCUAGCC